AGAUCUCAUUGGUUGCCACAGUCCCUACAUGAGGGAGGCUUGAGUGACAGGAGAAAUCUGAUUGGUCCUGUUUGUUCUGUAUAUAGUGAUGUCAUCUACCACACAGAACUCACCUCUCUGUUUUACACCAUAGUCUCAGGAUCACUGUAUUUACAACGUGAGACCCAGGAGGACAAGCUGAAGAGGGAGGCAUCAGCUGGUGAGCUUGUGAGAGGAGAGACCUCAGAUACAGACCCCACACUUCCACUGAGGAGGACAAACAGCAUGGAGUUACCUCAUCCAUUUAUGGGAGGAGAGAGCAGCAGUCCAGACUCCCCAGUGUCUCCCAAAUAACAGAACUGGAGAGACGGGUGAAAGAAGAGGAGUACUGGGGGAAGAAAUACAAACACCUUUGUCUGACAAAAUGUGGAGUGUUUUCCCAUUAGAAAGACGUCGCCCAGAUGUCCUUUGGUUGGUGGACCAUUCUUGAAACACACAGGAAUCCCAACAGCAUUGCAGUUCUUUACACAAGCCAGUGCUCCAUGCACCUGUUACCAGACCCCGUUCAAACACAUUUAUAUACUGCAUCUUGCCCAUUCACCCUUUGAAUGGCAUUCAUACACAAUCCAUGUCUCAAUAUCCUUAUUUAACCUUCCUCCUCCCCUUCAUCUACACUGAUUGAAGUGGAUUUAACAAGUGACAUGAAUAAGGGAUCAUAUCUUUCACCUGGAUUCACCUGGUCAGUCUAUGUCAUGGAAAGAUCAAGUGUCCUUAAUGUUUUGUACACACAGUGUAUGUCUACAGUGACUUGAUGAGUAAUACAUUAGAUUAUUGUUCUGUUGCUGUUGAGACAACUGUUUUGUGAAGGGGUUAGAGAGGAGACUAGUUAGAGAGACAACUGUUAUGUGUAGGGGUUAGAGAGGAGAGUAGUUAGAGAGACAUCUGUUUUGUGUUAGAGAGGAGACUAGUUAGAGAACUGUUUUGUGUAGGGGUUAGAGAGGAGACUAGUUAGAGAGACAACUGUUUUGUGUUAGAGAGGAGACUAGUUAGAGACAACUGUUUUGUGUAGGGUUUAGAGAGGAGACUAGUUACAGAGACAAUUGUUUUGUGUAGGGGUUAGAGAGGAGACCAGAUAGAGACAACUGUUUUGUGUAGGGGUUAGAGAGGAGACUAGAUAGAGACAACUGUUUUGUGUAGGGGUUAGAGAGGAGACUAGUAACAGAGACAAAAGUUUUGUGUAGGGGUUAGAGAGGAGACUAGUUACAGAGACAACUGUUUUGUGUAGGGGUUAGAGAGGAGACUAGAUAGAGACAACUGUUUUGUGUAGAGGUUAGAGAGGAGACUAGAUAGAGACAACUGUUUUGUGUAGGGGUUAGAGAGGAGACUAGUUACAGACAACUGUUUUGUGUAGGGGUUAGAGAGGAGACUAGAUAGAGAGACAACUGUUUUGUUUAGGGGUUGGGAGAGCAGGCGGAGCCUUCUACCACUACUACUACUACUACUACUACCAGUACUACGACUACCAGUACUACUACUACUACUGGUACUACUACUGGUACUACUACUAACACUACUACUAAUACUGCUACUUCUACUACUACAUCUUCUCCUCUUGGACAGCAGUUUGAGAAGACCAGAGGAAGUGAUGGAGCAUCAGUCUGAAUGCAGAUGUCCAUAUGACUGGGGCAGCAGGGUAGCCUAGUGGUUAGAGUGUUGGACUAGUAACUGGAAUGGUUGCAAUUUGUGGGGAAUUUAUAUUUGAUGAGACCAUUUUCGAUGUUUAGGGAGGCUAGGUUGUAUCCCAUCUCAAUAUUAGACUGUUUUUUAAUAAAGAUUGUAACGAAAAUCCUGAUAAGAAGAGUUAUAAUUCUGAUGUAGGGUUAAAGGUUAGAUUAAGGUUAAGGUUAGAUUUGAUUAAUGAUGGGUGAAGAGUCGGAUAAACAUUUAUAAUAAUGUUGGUUAUGUGUCUAUUCAUAUGAUAAUCUGAUAAACCUUUAUAGUAAGGUUAGUUAUAAGUCUAUUCGUAUGAUAAAUCUGAUAAACCUUUAUAAUAAGGUUAGUUAUAAGUCUAUUCGUAUGAUAAAUCUGAUAAACCUUUAUAGUAAGGUUAGUUAUAAGUCUAUUCGUAUGAUAAUCUGAUAAACCUUUAUAGUAAGGUUAGUUAUAAGUCUAUUCGUAUGAUAAAUCUGAUAAACCUUUAUAAUAAGGUUAGUUAUAAGUCUAUUCGUAUGAUAAAUCUGAUAAACCUUUAUAGUAAGGUUAGUUAUAAGUCUAUUCGUAUGAUAAAUCUGAUAAACCUUUAUAGUAAGGUUAGUUAUAAGUCUAUUCGUAUGAUAAUCUGAUAAACCUUUAUAGUAAGGUUAGUUAUAAGUCUAUUCGUAUGAUAAUCUGAUAAACAUUUAUAAUAAGGUUAAUUAUAAGUCUAUUCGUAUGAUAAUCUGAUAAACCUUUAUAGUAAGGUUAGUUAUAAGUCUAUUCGUAUGAUAAAUCUGAUAAACCUUUAUAGUAAGGUUAGUUAUAAGUCUAUUCGUAUGAUAAUCUGAUAAACCUUUAUAGUAAGGUUAGUUAUAAGUCUAUUCGUAUGAUAAUCUGGUAAACCUUUAUAAUAAGGUUAGUUAUAAGUUAUAAGUCUAUUCGUAUGAUACAUCUGAUAAAAAUAAGUUUGUUCAUAUUUUUGUUUUUUUAUGUUUGAUAAAAUUAGAUGUAGAUUUGAAUGUAUAAUAUUUAAUCAAAGGGAGGAUUGUUGGAGGAAAUUAUAGUUUAAAUGACUAAUUAUGUAUACAUUUAAAUUAGAACCAUUUAUUUUAAUACUAUUAUGUUAUGGUAUGAAAUGUAUGGGUUCUUGGUUAAGCUGUUACUGAAAAUGUAAGUAGAACGAAUUAAUUGUCUGUACCUUGCGGGAAAGGGAGAAGGAGGGCAUAUAUCCUUUCAGACAGAUAAGAAUGUUUGUUUGAUGUUCCAUUAGUGGAGAAAAGUAUAUAUUUUAGACAGAUUGGAAUGUUAGUUUUAUGAGGGGAGUAGAAGACAAUUUCCAGACCCGAAGACACUGCGCUAUUGUGUGGAUCGGAGAGGGUGUGAGAAACUGAUGACGUCAUUUUAUGUUCUCUCCUUAAAAUGUAAUGUUCUUUGUAUUUUGAGUCAGUACUCAUCAAGAAUAAAUGCUGAACUUGUUUUUAAGACUGGUCUCGAUCUAUUUCAUGCAAAAUGAUAAAUUUACAACUUAUUAUGAAAUAGAGAGAGUGAAUUUGGUUUUGGCUACAAAACAUAUAGGAAUUUAGAAUUCCUCUAACAACAGGCAGUUAACAAUGUCUACACUGUAUUUAUUUUCAAUUUGAUGUUAUUUGAAUAGACAAAAAAAUGAUUUUCUUUCAAAAACAAGGACAUUUCUAAGUGACCCCAAACUUUGAACGGUAGUGUAGCUAUGCACCGUAAUGGUGCUCUGGUAUGGAAUGUUUUGUGAUUUGGCUCUAUUUUUUAAAUAUUAAGUAACUGUUAUGUAUUCAGUACAGUUAACAAUUAGGGGCCGGUAUGUUUGAGCCGAUUUGGACAUAUUUCUAUAAAAGACAGAACAUACAGAACUCCAUGUUCAUGUGUGUAAAUAUAUGAAAUAUGAUAAAAUAUCAGGUACCUUUAUGAUUUACAUUGACCUGAUUGAGAUAUAUUCCUUUGUUAUAAGUGUACCUUAGGUUUUAGCUCCUCCUCUUGACCAUUCAUUGUACUGUGGUCAGUGUGUUAGUGACAGGAUAAAGACAGGAAGUUGGGCCUUCGGGGGAGGGGGAGUCCUAGCUAGACACGGGAGUGGUAUAGUCUUUUAACCAGACAACAAACAGGUCAUAUUAUGUAUUUUUCACGUCAAGUAAUCUAUGUUUUAAGUUGAUCGGAGAAUAUGUUUUUUUGUGAGAUAUAAGAAUAAUAAACCUUUUUGUUGCACCAUAUCCCUGGAUCUCAUUGAAUGUUUUGGCCGUUUGGGAACU
ensembl:lncRNA